GGUACAUUCCCGUUACUUUCCCUCCCCUACCCGCAAUCCACUAAGCUUUUGCCCACCAUUAAAAUGGCAUUACGCGCCUUUUCCCCUCUCGUCGGAACCCUAAUUUUGAUUCGAUUGCAGGAGUGUUAAAAAGCUUGAUCCUGUUAUAUUAACAGAUGUCUCAAAGCUCUUCUUUUGAUGGAGAACCUUCUGGGACUGAUGUUGGGACCAUGGAAUUUCCAGGUGUUGGAGAGGCAAACUUUGUUUUUGAAAAUAAGAAUUUAAUCUACACUGAAGAAUAUCAAAUGCAAAAUGAGCUCAGGUCGCAACUAGAAAAAGAGAGUCAAACUGACACCAGUGCAACUAUUUUAUGGAAACAUGUCGUAAAGGGAAGAAAAUGUGGAAAUGCUCACGGGGGUUCUCACGUUUUUAAGUGCAAACAUUGCCAGAAGAUAUAUCGUGGGACUUAUACACGAGUUUAUGCACAUCUAAUGGGGCACAAGAAAGGCGAAAGUAAAGGAAUUGGUUACUGUUCUGUUGUGAAGGCUGACAAAAAUCUCCAGCAGCAGAUAAAGAGAGAGGUCGAGCAAGUUGAGAGCUCACCAAACGUUUUUCCGUUGAAGAAGUCAAAGACAAGUUCUUGCUCUGUUAUGGCAUCACAUGAACCUUCUUUAUCUUUAUCGUAUACAGGUUCUUUUGAUAAAGUCCCACCAAUGCAAGAUAGGAAUGAUGUUGAUUCAAAAGUCGUACGCUGUUUUUGUGCUAAUGGAAUCCCUUUCACUGUUUUAAGAUCACCAUAUUGGGAAGAAAUGGUGUCAGCAAUCAGUAAAGAACCAUACUACAAGAGCCCAUCAUGUGACAGAGCGCAUACUAUAUUGAAGAAUGAAAGGAACACAAUCGAAAGGGAAUUUGAUGAAUUCAAGAAGAAGUGGACUCAAUAUGGCAUUUCUAUUGACUCAAACGGUUGGAGAAAAGCCAAGAAACAAACCCUAAUAAACUUCUUUGCUUCGAACCAUUUCGGGUCUAUGUUUUUACGUGCUCUUAACUUUUUAGUUGUUGAGAAGGCACAGAAAAGCGUCUCACAUUACAUCUUAGAAGCAAUUGAAAAUAUGGGGCCAAAUAUUGUUAUUCAAUUUAUAAUAGACAACGCAGCUCUGUAAUUCUCUAGGUGAAGACUUGGGCAAAGCGUAUCCCUAUAUAUUUUGGACUCCAUGCAUGGUCUACACAUCGAAGUCAAUACUAAAGGAUACUAUAAAUUCUCUUCCUUGGCUUGAAAAGACAUAUACAAUAGCCAAAGGUAUAGGGAAUUAUAUCAUAUGUCAUUCCCAUGCAGUAGAAAUUUUAAAAGCCUAUUCUCAUCUGGCAGUAAUAACAGUUGCUAAUGAAGUCUCAGCCUCACACUGUAUUAUUCUUCAUCUUCUUCUUGAGGUAAAAGAAUCUCUGAUAUCCGCUGUCUUAUCUGAUCAAUGAGAACAGUGGGCUACUUUACCCAAUGUAGAUGAUAAAGUAAGGCUCACAGGAGCAGACGUUAAAGCAGCGGUUAUGUCAGAGAACUUCUGGGAAACAGUACAAUUGGCUUUAUCGAUUAUCAAACCAGUGUAUAAAAUGAUGAGAUUUAGCAAUCAAGAUGGCCCCAUCAUUGGAGAAGUAUGUGAGAAGAUGGAUAAUAUGUUAGGAGAAAUUGAAGACAACUUGAAAGAACGAGAGGAUAUCUUUACGGUUGUUAAAGAAAAGGUCUUUAAUUGGUGGAACAAUACAACUUUUCCGCUGCAAUGUUUAGCUUAUUCCCUCACUCCAAAGUAUUAUGAUGAAGAGUACCUUCAAAUUCCAGAUCCAUGUGGCAAAAAACGAUGCCCGCCAGACCAGGAUGAUGAUAUUUUUGAGGGUGCCAUGGCUGCAAUAUGUAAACUGCAUCAGAAUGAUGAACAAGCAGAUACUGUUCGUGUGCAGUUCAUGUCUUUUAUAGAGAAGAAGGGAAAGUUUUCCUCUCCAACAGCCAAAAGAGAUGCCAGAAAUCCAAAAAUAAAUGCUCAACAGUGGUGGAAGUUUCAUGGAGGGGAUACAAAAGAACUGAGAAACAUGGCGUUUAGAGUACUUGCACAAUCAAUUAGCACCUCCUCUGUUGAGAGGCCAUGGAGUACUUAUAGUUUUAUCCGUACUGCAAAACAAAAUAUAUUGAAUGCAAAUUAUGCAGAUGAUCUAUUAUACAUCCAUUCAAAUUUGCGAUUACUCUCCAGGUCUAGGCCCGAAUAUGAGCAAGGCCCACAUAGAAAAUGGGAUAUUAAUCCUGAUAUUUCUCCUGUCAAUGAAUGCGCUUUAAAAUGUGAGAAAAUGCACACUUUGGGUCUUGAUGAUGAAAGCUCAGUUUCAAAGAAAGAUUCCCAUUUUCAAAAUCCUAUCCAAGAGAUUUUCAGGAUUGUAGAUGGUGUUCCUCCUGAUAACCAUCAAUCUAGCGAUCAGAGUCAAGUUACGGGCCAUAGAGGUGGGUAUGUAGAGAGAGGAGGAGGUAGAUGGAGUCAAAGUGUGCUAGUGGUGGACGCGACCUAAAGGGGAAAUACUAAGAAAUUCUUGUGAGGUGAUAACAUUUUUUUACUAAGAUAAUAUACCGUUGACACAUAAUCAAGUGCUGAUGUUGGAAGCUUGCUCUCACAGCUGAAGAAAGCUGUUAACUUUCACUACAUAUUUUCAUCACAAUGCAGCUACACUUUCGUAAAAAAAAAAUCGCUGCUGGAGCUCCUGCCAUCUUAUUUGAUUGCGCUGGACAGAUGGAGACAUGUGGAUGGCCUAACCUCUGUAUGGUGUUGCCAACUAAAAUGAAGAAGAUGUAUAUUCUAAAGCGCCCAUCUUUUUCUUGCCAAUCAGCAGCUUAUUGGUGAGUAGUCCAACUCCACAAGCAUGAACUUGAUGAUGAUGAUGACAUAUCUUCAUUAGCUUCUUAACGCGUUCAUCGGGAUUGGAAUGUGGGGGGUUUGGGCUAAAAGGAGGAAUAAAGGCUUAUUAUUUUUACUUUAUGAGUAGCAGCAUGUGCUUCCUUAAGGAGGACAACCCCACUUAAGAUAACUUUGGGGUUUAGCUCUCAAGAAUCAAGGGCCAGCUAUCUCCAUUAUUCUUCAGUUAGGCAAUAUAGGGAAUUGAUGAGAGUUCAUCUAGGUUUAUGAUUGCUGUGUCAGCUUUACAGUUUUCACCAUGUUCAUGAAUCUUAAGUACUAUAAGACUUCACAAAUGGGAGUCAUUUAAUUAGAUUUGGUAAUGAUGGAAGUGAUGGAGUAUGAAGACAUAACGAAUAUGGGUUUCACAUGGAUCAAAACUACACUAUUUAUGUUUGAUAAUUCAGUUAAAGUAUAUACGUAGUCUGUCCACCUGUCAACUUGAUGUUAGGUUAUAAAAUGUUCAACUGGUUGACUGUAUAUGGAAUGAUUACAUAAACCUUCAAGUUGGAUGACUUAUAUUUAGAUGCGAACUUAAAAGUAAUUGAAUUAACGCUUCCUAUUUUUUGCACUUUCAUGAUGAAGAUCGCCUGUCUAGCUCUCUGUUUUGAUCUCACUUAUUUUUCUUAUGCUCAAAACUACAAACUAGGUCUUUUGGUGGUGAGUUUAGUACCCAUGACUCGUUGUAUAUCAUAGAAUUAAAGGUUAAUUACAUAAAUUCCCCAUUUUGAGAGCUUAUGAAGUCUAAGCUAAACUUGCCUCAGGAUAUAUGUAUAUGUUAUGUAAAUAAUUUGUUAACUCAGCUUUUGUUGUAUCAACAUAGAACUGAAAAUAAGGUGCAACUUCUAAGUCUAAAAUAAACUUGUCUGAAGAUGGAAGUGUUGAUUAAUUUUUCACCAUGGUUCACUUUCAUUACAUCAAUGAACUUGCCCGGAGUUGCUUAUGUUGAGCUAGUUGUUAACUCACUUCAUUUUGAACCAUGUACAAUUUAACUAUGUAUAAAGUGUAAAUCCAUCCAUCAUGAAUAGUUCUAUGCAUACAACAUGUUCUUCUUCUUCUUCUUUUUUUUUUGGAUGUAAUGCAAGAAUAU